rnacentral:rRNA from 1 species
CCUACGGGAGGCAGCAGUGGGGAAUUUUGGACAAUAGGGGCAACCCUGAUCCAGCCAUGUCGCGUGAGUGAAGAAGGCCUUCGGGUUGUAAAGCUCUUUCGGACGGAAAGAAAUUGCCAUCUCUAACAUAGGUGGUGGAUGACGGUACCGUAAGAAGAAGCACCGGCUAACUACGUGCCAGCAGCCGCGGUAAUACGUAGGGUGCGAGCGUUAAUCGGAAUUACUGGGCGUAAAGCGUGCGCAGGCGGUUUUGUAAGACAGGCGUAAAAUCCCCGGGCUUAACCUGGAAACUGCGCUUGUGACUGCAAGGCUAGAGUGCGGCAGAGGGGGGUAAAAUUCCACGUGUAGCAGUAAAAUGCUUAGAGAUGUGGAGGGAUACCGAUGGCGAGGGCAGCCCCCUGGGUCGACACUGACGCUCAGGCACGAAAGCGUGGGGAGCAAACAGGUUUAGAUCCCCCUGUAUU